UAACACUAACUGGAGGACCGAACCGACUAAUGUUGAAAAAUUAGCGGAUGACUUGUGGCUGGGGGUGAAAGGCCAAUCAAACCGGGAGAUAGCUGGUUCUCCCCGAAAGCUAUUUAGGUAGCGCCUCGUGAAUUCAUCUCCGGGGGUAGAGCACUGUUUCGGCAAGGGGGUCAUCCCGACUUACCAACCCGAUGCAAACUGCGAAUACCGGAGAAUGUUAUCACGGGAGACACACGGCGGGUGCUAACGUCCGUCGUGAAGAGGGAAACAACCCAGACCGCCAGCUAAGGUCCCAAAGUCAUGGUUAAGUGGGAAACGAUGUGGGAAGGCCCAGACAGCCAGGAUGUUGGCUUAGAAGCAGCCAUCAUUUAAAGAAAGCGUAAUAGCUCACUGGUCGAGUCGGCCUGCGCGGAAGAUGUAACGGGGCUAAACCAUGCACCGAAGCUGCGGCAGCGACACUAUGUGUUGUUGGGUAGGGGAGCGUUCUGUAAGCCUGUGAAGGUGUGCUGUGAGGCAUGCUGGAGGUAUCAGAAGUGCGAAUGCUGACAUAAGUAACGAUAAAGCGGGUGAAAAGCCCGCUCGCCGGAAGACCAAGGGUUCCUGUCCAACGUUAAUCGGGGCAGGGUGAGUCGACCCCUAAGGCGAGGCCGAAAGGCGUAGUCGAUGGGAAACAGGUUAAUAUUCCUGUACUUGGUGUUACUGCGAAGGGGGGACGGAGAAGGCUAUGUUGGCCGGGCGACGGUUGUCCCGGUUUAAGCGUGUAGGCUGGUUUUCCAGGCAAAUCCGGAAAAUCAAGGCUGAGGCGUGAUGACGAGGCACUACGGUGCUGAAGCAACAAAUGCCCUGCUUCCAGGAAAA
rnacentral:rRNA from 1 species